UGAAAAAGUAGCGUUUGUAAGCGCAGUGCUGUUUUGUGUACAGCUGUUACCGGGGAAACAGCUGUUUUUACCGCUCCAAAAGCGGCACCUAGUGGCAAAG